GAUGAAGAACGCAGUAAAAUGCGAUAAGUAAUGUGAAUUGCAGAAUUCAGUGAAUCAUCGAAUCUUUGAACGCACAUUGCGCCCGCCAGUAUUCUGGCGGGCAUGCCUGUUCGAGCGUCAUUUCAACCCUCAAGCUCAGCUUGGUGUUGGGACUCGCGGUAACCCGCGUUCCCCAAAUCGAUUGGCGGUCACGUCGAGCUUCCAUAGCGUAGUAAUCAUACACCUCGUUACUGGUAAUCGUCGCGGCCACGCCGUAAAACCCCAACUUCUGAAUGUUGACCUCGGAUCAGGUAGGAAUACCCGCUGAACUUAAGCAUAUCAAUAGCGGAGGA
rnacentral:misc_RNA from 1 species